GAUGAGCGCUGGCGGCGUGCCUAAUACAUGCAAGUAGAACGCUGAAGGAGGAGCUUGCUCUUCUGGAUGAGUUGCGAACGGGUGUGUAACGCGUAGGUAACCUGCCUGGUAGCGGGGGAUAACUAUUGGAAACGAUAGCUAAUACCGCAUGACAACAGUUAUUGCAUGAUAACUGUUUAAAAGGGGCAACUGCUCCACUACCAGAUGGACCUGCGUUGUAUUAGCUAGUUGGUGAGGUAACGGCUCACCAAGGCGACGAUACAUAGCCGACCUGAGAGGGUGAUCGGCCACACUGGGACUGAGACACGGCCCAGACUCCUACGGGAGGCAGCAGUAGGGAAUCUUCGGCAAUGGACGGAAGUCUGACCGAGCAACGCCGCGUGAGUGAAGAAGGUUUUCGGAUCGUAAAGCUCCGUUGUAAGAGAAGAACGAGUGUGAGGGUGGAAAGUUCACACUGUGACGGUAUCUUACCAGAAAGGGACGGCUAACUACGUG
rnacentral:rRNA from 1 species